rnacentral:rRNA from 1 species
UACGUAGGGUGCGAGCGUUAAUCGGAAUUACUGGGCGUAAAGUGUGCGCAGGCGGCCAUGCAAGUCGAGUGUGAAAGCCCCGGGCUUAACUUGGGAAUUGCGCUCGAAACUACGUGGCUGGAGUGUGGCAGAGGAAGGUGGAAUUCCACGUGUAGCGGUGAAAUGCGUAGAGAUGUGGAGGAACACCAAUGGCGAAGGCAGCCUUCUGGGCCAACACUGACGCUCAUGCACGAAAGCGUGGGGAGCAAACAGG